rnacentral:ribozyme from 14 species
UUUAUGUGUGUGUUCCUGGCCCUUCAUUCUUUCUUUCCUUUUCUUUCCUUGUCUAUCUGCGCAUGUCAUGCACUGCACAUAGAUAGGAGAGUGCAGGGGGGAAGGGGUGAAGAUGUAGGAGAGUGCAUGGGAAUGAGAGAAG